GACGAACGCUGGCGGCGUGCCUAAUACAUGCAAGUUGAGCGAUGAAGAUUGGUGCUUGCACCAAUUUGAAGAGCAGCGAACGGGUGAGUAACGCGUGGGGAAUCUGCCUUUGAGCGGGGGACAACAUUUGGAAACGAAUGCUAAUACCGCAUAACAACUUUAAACAUAAGUUUUAAGUUUGAAAGAUGCAAUUGCAUCACUCAAAGAUGAUCCCGCGUUGUAUUAGCUAGUUGGUGAGGUAAAGGCUCACCAAGGCGAUGAUACAUAGCCGACCUGAGAGGGUGGUCGGCCACAUUGGGACUGAGACACGGCCCAAACUCCUACGGGAGGCAGCAGUAGGGAAUCUUCGGCAAUGGACGAAAGUCUGACCGAGCAACGCCGCGUGAGUGAAGAAGGUUUUCGGAUCGUAAAACUCUGUUGGUAGAGAAGAACGUUGGUGAGAGUGGAAAGCCCAUCAAGUGACGGUAACUACCCAGAAAGGGACGGCUAACUACGUG
rnacentral:rRNA from 1 species